UAUGCCAAACUUUUUAUGAGAGAGUAGACCCAAACUCUAGAACCAUGCUAGAGUCAAUGUGUUAGGGCUAGUUUAUGCAUAAAGAAGCCAAUGAAGCCUGGCAAUUCUUAGAGGACCUAGCAGAAAAGAGUCUGCAGUGGGAAGCAACUAGGAAACCUACAAGAGGUGCUAUGCACCAAGUAUCCACAUCCCUAGCUACAGAGGCCAAAAUAGAUACUAUACUACAUAGGUUAGAGGCCUU
rnacentral:lncRNA from 1 species